rnacentral:ncRNA from 2 species
CGAUGCCGUGCGGGAGAGUCCCAUCAUCAACUGAUGGGCGCCGAAGGAGCAACACCUCUCCGACAAUCUCUCAGGCACAAGGACCGUACGUGCUGC